AUGAACACACACCCGGAGCAGUGGGCAGCCAUUUAUGCUGCGGCGCCCACUUGCCUUGCUCAAGGGCACCUCAGUCGUGGUAUUGCCGUCCCGAGACUCGAACCUCGAAACUCUCUAACCACUAGGCCACGACUUCCCCUACCCUCUCGCGAUACUUUGAUGUCAUACACUGAUCAGUCUGCACAGCUUUGGUGUCCGCCAUACGUCAUCAUGUCGCUAUAUCAUUAAUAUCGCGAUAUGACACUUUUAUUAUCAUGUAAAGAUUUAUACCGGUAUUAUCGUGAACGGUAUGAUAUGGCACACCCCUACUGCGUAUUAUCAGUGCAACAGUAGCUGUUUCCAUUACCCUUCAAAUUGCACAAAUUGAAAUUGGAAUUGCGUUAAUGGAAUUGCAAUACUUUUUUAUUAUGAAAUUGCUAAAGUUUUGUGCAAAUCUGUAAUGGAAACGCAGCUAGUGGGAAUUGCAAUACUUUUUUAUUUAUGAAAUUGCUAAAGUUUUGUGCAAAUCUGUAAUGGAAACGCAGCUAGUGCCUAUCCAGAAGUGUUUUUCCCAUUAAUCUUCCUCAUUUUCUUUAAUGAGGAAAUUAAGCAUUGCAUAGACAUAAUCAAAUUGAAAACUAUGGAGAAAUAUAAAAAUAAAAAAAGAAGAAAUGUGUGUGUGUGUAAUUUGCAGUGCUUUAAUUUGAGUGGGUGGGUGCUGGGGAACUCUUUUGCUGUGAUUUGUUUGCAGCGAUUGGUGGAGAUUUCUUUGCUGGAUCAUUGGUAAUGCAUUUUUUCACCAUGAAAUUCCAUUGUGAUUCACUUUUUUUUUAAACAAGCCUAAAUAAUGCAGACCAGUGGCUUCAACAAAAACAUAUAAUCGAUUAACAGCCUUGCAGCUCCAAGUAGGUCUAUCUUGUAAUCAUUAAAAAUGAAUGGGAUUUUACUUCUGGAACCUGACUGAUGUACUCUGUAAGACUAGUGAUGCUGACUUUAAACACAGCUAGCAUUGGUCAGUAAAACACCUGCUGUAUUUCAAGGGUUAAUGUGCACGUGUGUGAUAGUCAUCUGGCUAGAUUUUUUUAGUUUCACUAAUCAUGGACUUUGUUCAGGUGGGCAUUAAUAGGCACGUAGUGACUCUGAAAAACAAGAGCAAACAGUUACUUGAAGUGUUAUGUUUACCUACCGACAUUCCUCGCGAUACUUUGAUGUCAUACACUGAUCAGUCUGCACAGCUUUGGUGUCCGCCAUACGUCAUCAUGUCGCUAUAUCAUUAAUAUCGCGAUAUGACACUUUUAUUAUCAUGUAAAGAUUUAUACCGGUAUUAUCGUGAACGGUAUGAUAUGGCACACCCCUACUGCGUAUUAUCAGUGCAACAGUAGCUGUUUCCAUUACCCUUCAAAUUGCACAAAUUGAAAUUGGAAUUGCGUUAAUGGAAUUGCAAUACUUUUUUAUUAUGAAAUUGCUAAAGUUUUGUGCAAAUCUGUAAUGGAAACGCAGCUAGUGCCUAUCCAGAAGUGUUUUUCCCAUUAAUCUUCCUCAUUUUCUUAAUGAGGGAAAUUAAGCAUUGCAUAGACAUAAUCAAAUUGAAAACUAUGGAGAAAUAUAAAAAUAAAAAAAAGAAAGAAAUAGUGUGUGUGUGUUAAUUUGCAGUGCUUUAAUUUGUAGUAGGGUGGGUGCUGGGGAACUCUUUUGCUGUGAUUUGUUUGCAGCGAUUGGUGGAGAUUUCUUUGCUGGAUCAUUGGUAAUGCAUUUUUUCACCAUGAAAUUCCAUUGUGAUUCACUUUUUUUUUUAAACAAGCCUAAAUAAUGCAGACCAGUGGCUUCAACAAAAACAUAUAAUCGAUUAACAGCCUUGCAGCUCCAAGUAGGUCUAUCUUGUAAUCAUUAAAAAUGAAUGGGAUUUUACUUCUGGAACCUGACUGAUGUACUCUGUAAGACUAGUGAUGCUGACUUUAAACACAGCUAGCAUUGGUCAGUAAAACACCUGCUGUAUUUCAAGGGUUAAUGUGCACGUGUGUGAUAGUCAUCUGGCUAGAUUUUUUUAGUUUCACUAAUCAUGGACUUUGUUCAGGUGGGCAUUAAUAGGCACGUAGUGACUCUGAAAAACAAGAGCAAACAGUUACUUGAAGUGUUAUGUUUACCACCGACAUUCACCACCAGUUUAUACAGUCUGAAAUAUAAGCCUCAUUUAAUAAGCAGAUCUAGAAUUUAAAAAAAAAAAGAAUAGCAGCCUGAAAUGAACUCUGUGUAUCAUGGGUUUGUGCUGGCACAUCAAAUAUAUGCUGUCAUCAUAAACUAGCAUGAAAAUCAUCCAAGUUUGCCUCACCCUCGAACCCAAUGAUAAAUCAACACGCAUCACUCCCCCAACACACACCUGGUUUAUGACAUCAUCAGCACAGAAACACGCAGAAACCUGAGCAAGUCAGUGAGCCUGUGUUCAGUGAUGAAGAUAGCUGGGUAAUAUGUCCGGUCGCUAGUAUAAAAAAUAUGUCCAAAUAAUGUUUGAACGUUCAAAACGAAUGUUUUUGUUCUAAUAGAAUGUUAGCCAGAAUUCUUUGCACGCUCUCUGUUAGCUGCAAGGCAGUAUUUCUGGUUGAACUACAGUGUUCAUAUAAACUGAACUGUUGUCCAGCUGUUGGACAUUGAUGAACUCUGGCUGUUUGUCCAAACAGCAUGUGUUUAUGACAUCUGAAGAGCGAAGUGUUAUGACUCUGUUGUCUGCGUGGUGCUGCUGGUAAUUGUGGGAGUGAAUUGGGCAAGAGAUGGAGAUGAGGGACUGGUCAUCCUGGUUCCCACUGAUUUCUCUCUGCCAGCGUUAGAGCCGCAUUGUUCAGAGUGACCUCCUCCACGGCACUUCCUUCCUCAUAAAACACACUCAUACAGACACAUUACAGCUGCCCACAGGCGCUCAGGAGAGCUGCUCUGAUGAUGUCCAGCCUCUGCUUCACACGCCGCAGGGACACACACACACACCCUGUAAGAAAGUACCAAAAUGGUUUUCAUCAUUGUGUGCCUACCAUGGUAUUCCUGGAAUGCCACAGCACUACUUUGUAAGGGUUGUAAGGUUAAGAUUGUAUUUAACAUGUUAUAGCCUGAUCAUGUGAUCAUUUCUUUUUAUAAUUUGGGUCAGGAUUGUACAGUGUGUGGAGCAUUACAGACUGAAAAUGACACCUACCCACUAAAUCUGCCUUUAUAUUAAACAGACAAAUAUAAAAAUGCAUAUAUACUGACGUGGAGAAUCUUUCCCUGAGCUGCCUAUAUGUGCAGAAUAAAUUGUAAAAAAAAAAAAUAAAAAAAAAACAAAAACUAAAAUUGUGUGCCUACCAUGGUAUUCCUGGAAUGCCACAGCACUACUUUGUAAGGUUGUAAGGUUAAGAUUGUAUUUAACAUGUUAUAGCCUGAUCAUGUGAUCAUUCUUUUUAUAAUUUGGGUCAGGAUUGUACAGUGUGUGGAGCAUUACAGACUGAAAAUGACACCUACCCACUAAAUCUGCCUUUAUAUUAAACAGACAAAUAUAAAAAUGCAUAUAUACUGACGUGGAGAAUCUUUCCCUGAGCUGCCUAUAUGUGCAGAAUAAUUGUAAAAAAAAAUAAAAAAAAAAAAACAAAAUUAACAGUGAGCAAUACAUACAGUAGAAUAUUUUUGCAUUAUUGCUUACAUACUGUAUUCUUUACACAUUCUUUAAAAUUACUUUCUUCCACAUUUAAAACCAUCAUGAAGCAUCAUAAAACUUUUAAAUAACACAAAUAAAAAUAUAAGUAUUUUUGUAAUGAGUAAAGAUACAAAUACAAAUGAAAACUAUAAAAAUUCUUUGUCUAGUUUGCAACUCUGUACAUUUUCUUAACCAUCUUCGUGAAAUACUGUUUUUCUUUUACUAUUCAGUUUAGAACAAUUUUACUUUAAAGGUUUUUAAAUUUAAAAUGUAUUUUUUUUUAAUGAUUUCUAAAUCAUGUGAAACUGAAGACUGGAAUAAUUAUGCUGAAAAUCCAGCUUUGCAUCACAGAAAUAAAUUACAUUUUAAAAUAUAUUAUAAUAGAAAUCUGUUUUAAAUUGUAAUAAUUUUUGACCAUACUACUGUUGUUUAUUAAAUUAGUGCAGCCCUGAUGAGCAGAGACUUCUUUCAGAAACAUUUUGAACGUUAGUGUAUAUUUAUCUACGAAACAAAUUUUGAAGAGCAGAUAUUUUAUUAUGUCACACUUUUUACACUUCCUGAUAUUUUAUUAUGUCUACACUUUUUACCACUUCCUGUGUUUGCAAG
rnacentral:lncRNA from 1 species